GUUUUCUUCAUGAUGCAUUUUGACUUCAUUAGGCAUAUUAAUCUCCUUUUCUGUUUUAUAAAUGAUGGAAGAGUAGACCUUGGGGUGACCCUAUGCUGUAACACCCUUGAAGGUGAGCUCACCCAGCAGCUUUGGCAAGGACAGGACAAGGUAAGUAUGUGUGCUUCUCUGUGCUGAUUGUACAUCUGCAACACAUCUUGCAGAAGUGGCUUUAGGGGUUUUGCAGGUUGUAGGUUUGUCAGGAUUUAUUGCUGAGGGGACUUUAUUUCUCCCUGCAACUACCUGAAAGGAGGUUGUGGUGAGGUGGAGGUUGGGUGGAUCAUUUCUGUCAAGUAACAGGACAUAAGGAAGUGGCCUCAGGUUGUGCCAGGGGAGGUUUAGAUUGGUUAUUAGGAAAAAUAAUCAUCAUUGAAAGGAUUAUCAAGCAUUGGAACAGGUUGCCCAGGGAAGUUACCAUCCCUGAAGGUAUUUAAAGAAUAUGUACAUGUGGUUCCUUUGAAAAAGAAAACAAGCCUCAAAACGUUGUACCUUCAAAAAACAGUUAUUCAGCUCAACAUAUUCUAAUGUUGUCAUACCAUCAUAGGUACUUCUUGAGGGUGGAGUUUACUUUAAUUUUUCUAGCCACAUUUUUAAGAUGUGGAAAAUCUCCCUUGCACAGAAUGGUUGAUAGCUGUUUGUAUCACAAAUGCUCAAAACAAGCAGUUUCUCAGGAGCAUGUCUGUGCUCCCAUGGAGUGGUUGCGAGGAGAGUCGGGACUGUGCCGGCAGGUGUUGGGUGAGGGGAGUGCACAGCUGGAGCAGCUGGGACACGCUGGCAUGUCUGCACAUGUGGACCCUGCAGACUGUACCUCUUAGGCAAGUGCACUGGAUUACUUUGUGCUUCCCAGCUGAGAUUUCUAUGUGUGCCUAAAUCUGCUGUUUGUUCUGGGGGUUUGUUUUGAAGCACAAACAUUGUUUAUAUUUAAUCUGACCGACAUAAUUAAAAAAUACAGACUCGUAGGAGGCAAAACACAUUGGGUUUUUGUAACAAAGGGAAUGUUUUAAAAAUAGGAUUGUCGUCCGUGAAAGUAUCAAACUGAAACCCUCUACUACUCAUAUAGUGGAAGUAAUGGGAAACAUUCUGCUUUGGGGGAGGAAAAGCACUGUGUCUUUAAAUUUCUAUCUGCUCCCUGGGUAAACAUGUCCUGUCAUGGCAUAAGAAACACAGCUGUGUGCUGUUGCCAGCAGUGAGCGCCUUCUGACUUCCUGUGUGCUGCUCACAUGUACUCAGUGCUGGGCAGUGAUUGCGUGGCUGCCGGAGUGACCUCUGACACAGCCUUCUCCAGGCAAGCUUAACCCUUGGAACGCGCAGUGCUCUUCCUCACUGGGCUCUCGCUAGGCACACGAAUGGAAGCCGGACCUCAGUCUGACAGACUCCCGCUACAGCUCCGCUGAUUUAGCACCAAACUGCGUCCCGCUUACAAAAACACUCUAGACAGUGGGAGGCUGCAGCCAUGCUCCCUUCCCAGGCUCUCCUACCUGCUGUGGUGUUUGCACUCACAGCCCUUCAGGCUCUUGCCUCCGACACCUUCCUGGCAGCCGUCUACGAGCACGCCGUCAUCCUGCCAGAUCCCACUGGCCAGCCCGUUUCUCCCAGCGAUGCUUUGGCCCUGAUGAACAAAAACAUGGAUGUCUUGGAAGGGGCCGUCAAGGAAGCUGCCCGGCAGGGUGCCCACAUCAUUGUGACUCCUGAAGACGGCAUCUAUGGCUGGCGAUUCACAAGAGAAUCCCUCUACCCAUACCUGGAGGAUAUCCCUGACCCGGUGGUGAAUUGGAUUCCCUGCACUGACCCCUCAAGAUUUGGUCCAGCACCAGUGCAGGAACGACUCAGCUGCAUGGCCAGAAAUAACUCCAUCUAUGUGGUUGCAAAUAUUGGGGACAAGAAGCCGUGUGACUCCAGUGAUCCCAGCUGUCCUGGGGACGGUCGCUACCAGUACAAUACGGAUGUUGUCUUUGACACACAGGGGAAACUGGUGGCUCGUUACCACAAGUAUAAUCUCUUUGAAGGAGAGAGUCGUCAGUUUAAUUUCCCAAAAGAGCCAGAAGCUGUCACCUUUGAGACUCCUUUUGGGAAGUUUGGCAUUUUCACUUGCUUUGACAUCCUUUUCUAUGAGCCUGCCGUGGUCCUGGUGAACAAGAUGCAGGUGGACACCGUGCUCUUCCUGACAGCUUGGAUGAAUGUCCUGCCCUUUCUGACUGCAGUUCAGUUUCACUCUGCUUGGGCUAUGGGCAUGCGUGUUAAUGUCUUAGCAGCCAACACUCAUAACACCAGCAUGGAAAUGACAGGGAGUGGCAUUUAUGCACCAGCUGGAGCCAGAGCAUACUCCUACAACAUGAAAACUGAAGAUGGUCACCUCCUCAUUGCUAAACUAGAUGCACACCCUCAUCUUUCUCCUGCCACCCCGCCUGCUGUCAACUGGAACUCAUAUGCUUUGAGUGUUGGAAGAUUCUCACAGAAUGACCAUGAAUUCACAGGAAUCAUCUUUGAAGAUCCCUUUACUUUCACAGAGCUCACUAAGCCUGGAGGCAUUCUCACUGUUUGCCAAAAAGAUCUCUGCUGUCACUUGACAUACAAUAUGGCAGAAAAAAGAGAUGAUGAAGUUUAUGUCCUGGGUGCUUUUGAUGGCCUUCAUGUUGUUGAAGGACAGUACUAUCUUCAGAUCUGCUCUCUGCUCAAGUGCCCCAGCACAAACUUGAGCACGUGUGGGCAGCCCGUGGAGACAGCUCAGACCAAGUUUGAGAUGUUCUCCCUCAGUGGCACAUUUGGCACCAGCUACGUCUUCCCAGAAGUGUUGUACAGCGGGGUGCAGCUGGCCCCCGGGGAGUUCAAGGUGCUGCCUGAUGGACGUCUGAUAAGUCAGAAUCCAACGUCAAAGCCACUUUUGAGUGUAACACUCUUUGGGAGGUGGUAUGAAAAGGACCCUCCACACACAGAUCAAGCUUCACCAUGACUUCACAGCAGAUCCUUCAAGCUUUCAUCUGCUUGUUUCUGUAACACUAAUUAAUUACAAAUAAUGAUCCUGAAUGAUGGACGCUUGAUAAGGAAGAAGGAACCAAUGAAACCAGUCAUUACUGUGAUACUUUCUGGAUGGUGAUAUGAAAGGGAUCAUCUGAAACAAGACCCACAACCAACAUCCCUUCCCGUGAUAUUUCUCUAACUGAAGCUCCACUCUGGUAUUGUGUUUAUGUCCAAAUGUGACACAGCAUCAUCUACAACAACAAUCCCAAUUAUGUUUCUCAUUUCCAGUUGCAAAAUCUCAUCAAUGUGUUUGGUUUAGUAAUAAUGUGGCAAUAUUAUCUUAUUACUACAAUUUAUUGAGAAGAAUCUGUUUCUAUGUCAUAAGAUUACUAUAAUUUUAUCAGUUCAAAACAGCAGUUGUUUUUCUCUGUUUGCUGGAUUUUUAUUUUUCUAACCCUCAGAAAACUUGAAUUGUAGUCCAGAGUAUACAUUCUUAUUAAACCAGCAUUGCAUAUUUUUUCAUUGC